GUGCUCACUUUGGCAGCAUAUAUAUUAAAAUUGGAAUGAUCAGAAAAGUUAAUCAUGACCCCUGGGCAAAAAUAACAUGCAAAUUGAUGAAAUAUAUAUUUUU
ensembl:snRNA U6 U6 spliceosomal RNA